rnacentral:lncRNA from 1 species
AUUAUUAUAUAUAAGUACAAUGUAGCUGACUUCUGAGCACCAGCAGAGGGCAUCAGAUCUCAUUAUGGGUGGUUGUGAGCCACCAUGUGGUUGCUGAGAUUUGAACUCAUGACCUUCAGAAGAUCAAGUCAGUGCUCUUACCCACUGAGCCACCUCGCCAGCCCCCUCCUCUUUCUUUUAAAUAAAAUUUUUAAUGAUUUAUUUAUUUAUUUGCUUUAUGUUGUGAGUCCACUGUAGCUGCCUUCAGACACACCAGAAGAGGACUUCUAAUCCCAUUACAGGCAGUUGUGAGCCACCAUGUGGUUGUUGGAAAUUGAACUCAGGACCUCUGGAAGAGUAGUCAGUGUUCUUAACCGCUAAGCCAUCUCUCCAGCCCAUAAGACAUUUUCUUAAUUAAGGAUUGACUGGGAAGGGCCUGGCCUAGGGUGGGUUGUGCCAUCCCUAGGCUUGUUGUCCUGGCUGAGCAAACCAUGAGGAGCAAGCCAGUAAGCAGGACCGUCCAUGGUCUCUGCAUCAGCUCCUGCCUCCAGGUUCCUGCCCUGUUUGAAUUCCUAUCCUGACUUCCUUUGAUGAUGAACUGUGAUGUGGAAGUGUGAGCUGAAGAAACUCUUCUUUGUUCCUCAAAUUGCUGUGGUCAUGGUGUUAAAUCACAGUAAUGGUAACUCCAAGACACAUAGUACCAAACAAACGCCUGGAAAACAAGCCUGUUUCCUCUUACCUCCUUUACAAUGCUGCUCACUUCAUCAACAACAAAUGCAGUCUGUUAAGGAAGAAAAUGUAGGUAAGUUUGGUUUAAAAGAGCUUUCUGCAGAGCAUCAAUGAGCACACAGUGAGAUACUGAACGUGACUUAGAAAUCAGGCUGUCGACUGUGCAGAUGAACCUCAGAGCCCAGAGGUGUGAAGCAGCUGAGUGUCACACUGCAAGCCAGGUGUCACUUCAAACUAGAAUCCUGUCUCUCCUUCCCCUGCAGCUGGCUGUCAGCACCAUUAGCCAGUGCAGGUGCCAUAUUCCGAGCCACUCCACUGCCAUACAAAGCAGCUGAAGAAACAUAAGUCAUCAUUGUAGAGAUACUGACUAGGAUGUUUAACACGUAAAAGGCUCAUGUGUGCCCAUCAUUUUCUUAACCCCAAUGAACUACUUCAGGAUGAAGCAUCAGCUGACUUGAGGGCUGCCAGCAGCAAGGUGAUGCCCGAAGUAGUUUUCUUAGUCUCCUCUUAACAUAAUACUGGAUUUGAGUGGGUGUGAGGGUUUCCUGAAAACAUUGGCCAGGUACUAGCCUGCAGUAUGCUUCUUACCUGAGAACAAAUGAACUAUUCCAAGUUCUGGGAUAGCCUUAGCACUGGACAGGCCCUGGAUCGGAUAGCACAGCCUCCCUCGGCAGUCACUCAGUCCUGUUUUGCUACAGACUUCCCUUACUGCUGACCACAGUGGACCCUGCCCUGUUCCAGUAUUGAGUAUCACCCCUUCCUCUUCAGGAGAAUGAGAAUUGACCACCCAAAGCCAUUUCCCUUGCUAGACCCUCUAAGAAGUCAGUUGGAAACAAAGCCGAAAUCACUGAAAUAGUGAAAAUGUGGUGACUCUCCAGGGUAAGUCGACUGAAAGGCUCUUCCUAAGUGACUACAGUGAUCCUAAGCCACAAAGCAAAGCCCUAGUGUCACUUCCCAUACAGUCAGAGUAAGAACAUAACAGAAGAGAAAUUAUAUUGAAAUCAGGGAGCACUGCCAGCUGCUACCAGAGAGGGAAAUGAGCUGAGGGAAACCUGGGGAGCUAGAGGCAGGUAGAAAAGGCUCAGCUGAGAGGGCUGCUGGGUAAACAAUGCAGAGUGGCCGUCCUCCUGCUGCUGACACUCCGUGUAAAACACAGAUCACUGUCUGGACACUUCACUUCAGUCAGCCUACAUGUACAAGCUGGAAUUAGAACGCGGUUGUCAGGGCUACCUUUUCACAUGGCCAUUUCCUUCCUAUAAAGUCUAGCUGGCUGUGACUACCAUAAAAGCCAAUCUUCAGCCAUACAUGAGAUCGCUGUCUGGCCAAACAUCCCCUGUGCUGCUGCUUCGGAAUCGUGGCUUCAGAGUCUUUACUUGCGUUCCACCAACGUUCAAACAAAAUGAUCCUGACUGCCGAAAAUAGACCAAAACUGAAAGAUUCUGAUAAAUGCAAAUGUCUUACUCUUCCCUCAGAAUAUCCUUAGUUGACACUUUAGAAAUGUCAAAAGAGGAAGUGUUAGGGUUUUAUUAUUAUUGUUUUUGACAAAUUGUGUGGGAUUUUUGACAAAUUGUGUGUAGGCUCAUCAGCCUCGGGCCAGGUGGCCGUGAGCAGAAGCUGUGUCUUCCCAGACCGGGCCCCGCCACACCCGGAUCUCCGCCGCCACCCUCCCUCUCACGGCCCAACCCGAGGUUACCUCCUCGGAGGCCUGGAAGUCUUCCAUCUUUAACGCGUCUCCUUCGCCCGCCGAGUAGAGUGGACU